UACCUGGUUGAUCCUGCCAGUAGUCAUAUGCUUGUCUCAAAGAUUAAGCCGAGUUGAAGCAGUGGGGUGGUGGCGGGUCGACUUAUGUCUGCGGCUCAUUAAAUCAGUUACGGUUCCUCGGAUAUUCUUUUUACAUGGAUAACUGUGGUAAUUCUAGAGCUAAUACAUGAACAAGUGUUCCAACCUCAGCUUGCUGACGGAAGGAUCGCAUUUAUUAGUACAAGACCAAUGAUUCUUAUUCACCUAGAACCCUGUUCAGUGAUUUCGGUCGCUGUCUAAGGACUAGCAGUGGGGAUCUUAGCAACUUCGGUUGCAUUUCUUGUGAUGACUCUGAAUAACUGAGCAAAUCGUAUGGCCUCUGAGCCGACGAUGUAUCCCUCAAGCAACUGCCUUAUCAACUGUCGAUGGUAGGUUAUGCGCCUACCAUGGUUGUAACGGGUAACGGGGAAUUAGGGUUCGAUUCCGGAGAGGGAGCCUGAGAAACGGCUACCACAUCUAAGGAAGGCAGCAGGCGCGCAAAUUACACAAUCCCAGUACGGGGAUGUAGUGACGAAAAAUAACAAUACGGGACUCUAUUGAGGCCCCGUAAUUGGAAUGAGUACAAUUUAAAUCCUUUAACGAGGAUCUAUUGGAGGGCAAGUCUGGUGCCAGCAGCCGCGGUAAUUCCAGCUCCAAUAGCGUAUAUUAAAGUUGCUGCGGUUAAAAAGCUCGUAGUUGGAUUUCAGUCGAACCUAUGGGGUCCACUGAUUAAAGGGUUAGAUGGUGAUGUUAGGUUUCUUGCUUGUGUCUACGGAUGCUUGCUUGAACCUUCAUUCCUCUUUCCUGGUGGUUACAUUCAUAGUGUUUAGACAGAAAAUUGCUCGAUAUUUGCUAUCAAUGCUCUUUACCGAGUGUUGAUUCAAGCGAUCGAGACUUUUACCUUGAAAAAAUCAGAGUGCUCAAAGCAGGCGUCCAAAACCUCGAAAGAGGUGCCUAAAAACGGUAUGGUCAACCAUCUAUAUGAUGCGUACCACUACCUUAACUUGAAUGAUCUUGCAUGGAAUAAUGGAAUAGGACCUUGGUUCUAUUUUGUUGGUCUUAAGAAUCCAAGGUAAUGAUUAAGAGGGACAGACGGGGGCAUUUGUAUUGCGGCGCUAGAGGUGAAAUUCUUGGACCGUCGCAAGACAAACUACAGCGAAAGCAUUUGCCAAGAAUGUUUUCAUUAAUCAAGAACGAAAGUUAGAGGUUCGAAGGCGAUCAGAUACCGCCCUAGUUCUAACCAUAAACGAUGCCAACCAGCGAUCAUUCUGAGUAACUAAUUUCAUGACUCGAAUGGAAGCUUCCGGGAAACCAAAGUUUUUGGGUUCCGGGGGAAGUAUGGUUGCAAAGCUGAAACUUAAAGGAAUUGACGGAAGGGCACCACCAGGAGUGGAGCUUGCGGCUUAAUUUGACUCAACACGGGAAAACUCACCCGGCCCGGACACUGAGAGGAUUGACAGAUUGAGAGCUCUUUCUUGAUUCAGUGGGUGGUGGUGCAUGGCCGUUCUUAGUUGGUGGAGUGAUUUGUCUGGUUAAUUCCGAUAACGAACGAGACUCUAGCCUACUAAAUAGACUUGCAGUUUACACUGCAGUACUCCCCCUUAGUCAACCUGUGGGUGGUAGUAUCUCUUGAUGGUUUCGGCUGUUGAGGGCUCUGCUGCUAUUAGCCUACAGAAUUGGCUAGGGUAAGGAUGCUGUAGCACUGUAAGGACUUCUUAGAGGGACAAGCGGCGCUCGCAGCCGCACGAAACAGAGCAAUAACAGGUCUGUGAUGCCCUUAGAUGUCCGGGGCCGCACGCGUGCUACACUGAAGUGGUCAUCGUGCAUACUGUUUCCUGCUCCGAAAGGAGUGGGUAACCGCUUGAACCCAUUUCGUGAUGGGGAUUGGGCAUUGUAAUUAUUGCCCAUGAACGAGGAAUUCCCAGUAAGCGUGAGUCAUUAGCUUGCGUUGAUUACGUCCCUGCCCUUUGUACACACCGCCCGUCGCUACUACCGAUUGAAUGAUUUAGUGAGGACUUCGGACUGGUCAAUCCAGACCAUUGGGAAACUAGUGGUCGGAUUGUGCUGGAAAGAUGUUCAAACUUGAUCAUUUAGAGGAAGUAAAAGUCGUAACAAGGUUUCCGUAGGUGAACCUGCGGAAGGAUCAUUA
rfam:Tetranychus urticae London genomic scaffold, scaffold_42